UCCAUGACCAGUCCAACACAGAGGUCGACGCUGAGGUUUUUGAGGAGGUCGUUAAAGAGUCUCAAGGACCUUUCCUUGUUUCAUUGGCCAAUGAAGCACCUGGUAACCCUCAGUCCACGUCAUCUCCACGCUCUACUGCAUCUGAAGACACAGUGAUCCUCAACUUCUCUUUGUGUGACCCAGCUGAGGAACCAGUUGCAGCCGGAGGAAGUCAACCUAAAAGGCCUUGCCGCAUCAACUAUGAAGCAAAAGCUCUAAUUGAAAAAAUCUUGACGACAAAGCCUGGAGGUGACCGUAUCAUGGAGGAGUAUGCAAAAACAAAAUCCAUUACAGAUUCAACCAGAAGACAGCUAAUCAACAUACUUACCGCAGAGAUGACAGAAAAACAUGGG